AUUGAACGCUGGCGGCAGGCCUAACACAUGCAAGUAGAGCGAGUGGCGGACGGGUGAGUAAUGAAUGGGGAUCUGCCCGAUAGAGGGGGAUAACUACUGGAAACUGUGGCUAAUACCGCAUACUUUCGGAUGAACCCAAAUGGGAUUAGCUAGUAGGUGGGGUAUAGGCUUACCUAGGCGACGAUCUCUAGCUGGUCUGAGAGGAUGAUCAGCCACACUGGGACGGAGACACGGCCCAGACUCCUACGUGAGGCAUCAUUGGGGAAUAUUGCACAAUGGGCGCAAGCCUGAUGCAGCCAUGCCGCGUGUAUGAAGAAGGCCUUAGGGUUGUAAAGUACUUUCAGCGGGGAGGCGUUACCCGCAGAAGAAGCACCGGCUAACUCCGUGCCAGCAGCCGCGGUAAUAC
rnacentral:rRNA from 1 species